rnacentral:rRNA from 1 species
GACGAACGCUGGCGGCGUGCUUAACACAUGCAAGUCGAACGGACAGGCCCUGCUUUUGUGGGGUUCUCGAUUGGCGAACGGGUGAGUAACACGUGAGUAUCCUGCCCUUGUCUUUGUGAUAACAUCAGGAAACUGGGGCUAAUACCGCGUAGGAUCUCCUGCUGCAUGGUGGUGGUUGGAAAGUUUCGGCGGUUGGGGAUGGUCUCGCGGCUUAUCAGCUUGUUUGUGUGGUAGUGGCUUACCAAGGCUUUGACGGGUAGCCGGCCUGAGAGGGUGACCGGCCACAUUGGGACUGAGAGACGGCCCAGACUCCUACGGGAGGCAGCAGUGGGGAAUAUUGCACAAUGGGCGGAAGCCUGAUGCAGCAACGCCGCGUGCGGGAUGACGGCCUUCGGGUUGUAAACCGCUUUCGCCUGUGACGAAGCGUGAGUGACGGUAAUGGGUAAAGAAGCACCGGCUAACUACGUG